GGGGGGGGCGGGGGGCGGGCUGGGGGCGUGCAGGGCGGAGGGCAGGGGCCGGCUUGUGUGGGGUGGUCGAGUGGCGAACGGGUGUGGAACACGUGAGUAACCUGCCCUUGACUUUGGGAUAACUUCGGGAAACUGGGGCUAAUACCGGAUCGGAGCUCCUGCUGCAUGGUGGGUGUUGGAAAGUUUCGGCGGUUGGGGAUGGACUCGCGGCUUAUCAGCUUGUUGGUGGGGUAGUGGCUUACCAAGGCUUUGACGGGUAGCCGGCCUGAGAGGGUGACCGGCCCCAUUGGGACUGAGAUACGGCCCAGACUACUCCGCGAGGCAGCAGUCGCGACUAGGGAAGAAGGGGCAGAAGGCGGAUGAAGCAACGGCGCGUGGGGGAUGACGCCAUUCGGGUAGCAAAACGCUUCAGCCUGUAACGAAGCGUGAGGGACGGUAAUGGGGAAAGAAGAACAGGCUAAUUACGU
rnacentral:rRNA from 1 species